CUGGCGCAACCAUUAGGCAUACUAGGCAUUCACCUAGGGCGCCGGCCUAAAGGGGGCGCCUACCGGGAUAUUUCCUGGUGGGCUCCCUUGUCCUGGAGCCACCCCCUUCAGCGCCGGGCCAAUCAUCCAGGCUGAAUGUCUAAUUCUGUGUGUCAGUGAGUGUGUGAGUGUUUGACUGUCAAUGAGUGUGUUUGUGUGUCUGUCAGUGAGUGAGUG